GCAUUUUCUACUAACCUGAAGUCUCUGCAAUAAAUUACAAAUAUUAAUUGAACUUCUGGUAUCCAAUACCUAGGUAGUAGUAUCACACACAGAAAAAUUAUAAAGAGUUAUCAUAUAAAUACCUUGUCUAGCAAUAGAUUGCUGCUUUCUCUUGUUCGACUUAUUGGGGUCAAGGGUGGCUAGAUACUGAGGAUAAUUUCUUUUUCAGUGCUCC
rnacentral:lncRNA from 1 species